rnacentral:rRNA from 1 species
GAUGAACGCUGGCGGCGUGCUUAACACAUGCAAGUCGAACGAAGCACCUUGAUUCGAUUCUUCGGAUGAAGAUCUUGGUGACUGAGUGGCGGACGGGUGAGUAACGCGUGGGUAACCUGCCUCAUACAGGGGGAUAACAGUUAGAAAUGACUGCUAAUACCGCAUAAGACCACAGCACCGCAUGGUGCAGGGGGAAAAACUCCGGUGGUAUGAGAUGGACCCGCGUCUGAUUAGGUAGUUGGGGGGGUAACGGCCUACCAAGCCGACGAUCAGUAGCCGACCUGGGGGGGUGGCCCGCCCACUUUGGAACGAGGCACGGCCCAAACUCCCUCGGGAGGCAGCCGUGGGGAACAUUGGACCAUGGGGGGAAACCUUAUGGCGCCGCGGCGCGUGAGCCAUGAAGUAUUUCGGUAUGUAAAGCUCUAUCAGCAGGGAAGAAAAUGACGGUACCUGACUAAGAAGCACCGGCUAAAUACGUG